UACGUAGGGAGCAAGCGUUUUUCGGAUUUACUGGGCGUAAAGGGCGCGUAGGCGGCAAAUUAAGUCAGCUGUGAAAUCUCCGAGCUUAACUCGGAACUGUCAGCUGAUACUGAUCUGCUAGAGUGCGGAAGGGGCAAUCGGAAUUCUUGGUGUAGCGGUGAAAUGCGUAGAUAUCAAGAGGAACACCGGAGGUGAAGACGGGUUGCUGGGCCGACACUGACGCUGAGUGCGCGAAAGCCAGGGGAGCAAACGGG
rnacentral:rRNA from 1 species